GAUGAACGCUGGCGGCGUGCCUAAUACAUGCCAGUCGAGCGAACGGACGAGAAGCUUGCUUCUCUGAUGUUAGCGGCGGACGGGUGAGUAACACGUGGAUAACCUACCUAUAAGACUGGGAUAACUUCGGGAAACCGGAGCUAAUACCGGAUAAUAUUUUGAACCGCAUGGUUCAAAAGUGAAAGACGGUCUUGCUGUCACUUAUAGAUGGAUCCGCGCUGCAUUAGCUAGUUGGUAAGGUAACGGCUUACCAAGGCAACGAUGCAUAGCCGACCUGAGAGGGUGAUCGGCCACACUGGAACUGAGACACGGUCCAGACUCCUACGGGAGGCAGCAGUAGAGAAUCUUCCGCAAUGGGCGAAAGCCUGACGGAGCAACGCCGCGUGAGUGAUGAAGGUCUUCGGAUCGUAAAACUCUGUUAUUAGGGAAGAACAUAUGUGUAAGUAACUGUGCACAUCUUGACGGUACCUAAUCAGAAAGCCACGGCUAACUACGUG
rnacentral:rRNA from 1 species